CCACGUAUUCCAACACUCAUCAACAGGAUCCACGCGGUGGAUCUCACAACUUUUCAUCUGCUAUUCUAAAAUUGUUGCCUUUAAUCUUUAUGAAUAACACCAUCUUCAUUUUGUAGCCAAAUUCGAAAGUCGAAGGGUUUCAUUUCAGAAAAGUUUGCUCCUUUCAUGAACAAGGAAAAGGGCUAGAUAUGUUUGAAAUCUUGAGGUUGUAUUCCCAAUUGGAUAUGGAGAUCAUAAUACGUGUUUUCACUACUGAUUUGGAUAUCGUGUAGAAGCAGUUCUUGGAUAUUGGAGACUUGGGUGAGGUCUUGGGGUCCAGAGAUUACCUAUCUCCCUCCAUUUUGGAUGGACUAUUCUUUAUUUUGUAUUCGAAGACAGUUGUACUAUUGUUGUAUUUAUAUAAACCUUGUACUUCCUUAUUUAAUUUAAUAGCUCGACUAUCGACUGAUAUUAGGUCUUGGGGGUUAUCUUGCUAUAUUGAUCUCAUUCUUCUUCUCCUCUUAUUAUUGUUAUUAUUAAUAUUAUAAUUAUUUGUUUCUUUC